rnacentral:lncRNA from 1 species
GAGACAGCUUCGACUCAGCAGCAUGGCUCGUCCUUUCCCAGAUCAAAGCCCUGCGCCAGAGAGACAGCCCCACAGCACAGAGUGUCCUUUCUGGAACAUCCAGCUCCGGGGGAGACUUGAGCUGGAGCCACAACCUUGCCACCUGUAGCCAAUGGCUUGACAUGCGAAGGCUCUCACAGGCUGGGGAGCCUGCAGCUGCUCAAACAACAGAUCAACGAAAGAUCAGACAACAUGGGGAAGAGAAUUUUCCACCUUGAGCGAUAGAAAGCUCAGAUCAGCUAGUCUGAGAAAACAUCGCAUCCAGCUAAUCCUAACUCUAUGGAGUGUAGAAAGGGGAUGGCAAUCGGUACAGGGUCAUGGUUAAGAGCACAAGCUCUGAAGCCAAGCUGUUUGCCUUUGAUGCUCUACUCUGCCAUUUCUUAGCUGUGUGAGCUCAGGCAGGCUACUGGACUUCUCUGUGCCUUGGUUCCCUCACCUGCAAAAUGGACCUAAUAGUACCUACUCCAUAGGAUUUAAUGAUGACUGGCCCAUAAGAAAGCUCUAGAAAGGUUGUGGGUACUAUUUGAAGUCACACAGUCCUAGGUCUGAAUGGCUUCUGCUACUUGGUGUUUUUGUGAACUUGGAGAAAUGACAAUUUUGGGGCAACUUCCCCUUCUGUAAGAUGGAUUUUAAUAUGGUCCUGGCAGUGUUGCCAUGGGGAUUCAUUUUCUAUGGCACACAGUAGGCAUUCAGUAAACACCGCCUCUGAUUAUUAUCAUUUUUCCUGGUUUCCAAAGGAGAAAGCCCACAGGACUGACUAGACUGGAAGAAACACAACCAGUAAAACUUCGGAUGCUCUUAAAGCCCCAAAGCUUCAUCUACAUGCAAAAGAGAUACAUCCCUGGGGAUGACUGGGUCCUGGGGGCUUUAAAUACACAACCAGUUUUAUUCUGAGAGAGAAAAGGGAAACUGGAAGAGUUCCCAAAUUCAACAUCUGCAAGCGGAGAGGAUGACGAAAUGCAUUAGUCCUGAGGAGUAACUUUCUCCCAUCUUCUCGGAAAACAUCUGGGGCAUUACCCUCCCCUCCACUCAUUCCCCCACCUCCCACCCAAAGCUGACUCUUGGCUGACAGUUUAUCAGAGAUAAAUGGAAACACCUGGGAGCCAGAUAAGGCCAACUGAGUGUGACCAGCGGAGGAGCCCUCGGGGACGCAUGCCACUCAAUAUUUCUUUUUCUUCACCAGGCAGGGUGGGAGCACGAUCUAGCUUGUGACGGAUGGCAAGGCUCCCUUUCACGUUCAUUCUUUCCUUCAUUCAUUCCAAACAACCUCAAGAGGUCGGCUGGCCCAGCUUCCUGCCUGAGAACUGCUGUUCUGAGAAGCACACGUCCGGAAAUGUUACUGAUCCACAUGGUGGGUGCACGCAGGAUCCGAGUGCCGUGCCUCAGGAAACAAGCUCCCUCUCCAUCCUCCUUGCCUUCUCUUCAGCCCACCAGCAUAUAGAAGUUCCUGGGAAUGCCCAAGAUGCAGAUGUGGAGUAACCAGCCCUGGAAUCCCAGUCCCAGCUACUGUCUGCCUUAAAGUGGGAAAGACUGAUGGUUAUCCUGCAAAAUUCUUUCUCCCUUUCUGCUUUAAUAAAAGAAACUCUAAUUUUUGGCUGACCAUGUAGCCAUUCUGAGUAAAGCUACAGUUCUCAACCUCCUUUCCACCUAGGUGUACAACUACAGGAAGUGCUGUGUGCAACAUCUAGGAACUGUAUUUAAAGGGAAGGAACAUGCUCUUCUUUCUCUUUUUUCCCUCUCUGCUUCCGGAAUAAGGAUGUGAUGAUAGGAGCUUGAGCAGCCAUCUUGGAUCAUGUGGUAGAAGCCACAUGCUCAGCAAGAUAGAAGGAGAUUAGGUCCCUGAUGUUGUAGAGUGAGAUGUCAACUCAAGAUUGACACAUCUGGGUUCCUUUGACCUGAAAUAGAAAUAAACAGUUUUUAAAAAUUAUUUAAGCCACUGUUAUUUUGGGGUUUCUGCCACCUCAGCAGAAUCUAAUCCUAACUGCUUUGGCUCCUCUCUUCAGCUAAUCCCCUCAGCUCUCUCAAGAGUAAACUAAAAGAUUUAUUCCUAGAACAGUUUAUUUCCUAGAACAACCUUUCAGAAAGCCAUCUUGACUGGGAACAAGUUAGCAUCAGAAGGACCCCACUGAAGUGUCUCUCCUAAUGACCAUCUGCACCUCUGUUCAGACUCUCUCCCACCCAAGACCUUUCACAAGGAGAGCAGGAGAUGAGAGUUGGCGGGGCAAGCCUCCACACCACAGUGAUUAGCACACCAACCGACCCAGCCUGGGUGGUCUAGCCCGAGUGGCCAUGUGUUUUCCCACUCUUUGCCCCAAAGAACCAUUCCCUGAAUUUGCCAAACUGUUGGUCCUCAUGUGUUCACUUGGCUGCACUCCCAUUCGCUAUUAGUGCCUUUCCCACAUGAACCAUCCAAUUUGUUCUUUAGUGUAUACGCACCAUCUAUUCUGACAGGCGUCAGUGUGAUAUGGUUCAGAUUCAGCUUCGCAAACUAACACAGAUAUUCCAAUCCACUACCAUGGCUCUGCCAGUCUACUCCAUGUUUAAAUCCUUAGUGCCAAGGCUAGUCAUUGAAACAAAGGCCAAACUUGGGCUAUGUCACCCACAGAUACUCCCUGAGCUGGGGGAGCUCUAGGCCAAUGAUCGUUGGCUAAAAUUUGGUUCUCUGGGAGAAACUAAGGUAUGAUCAUGGGUGGGCAAUCCAAUGGGUGUACUUAAAGUUGUGAUGAAUCUUUUUUCAUCUCUGUUUAUAAGAUACGUGAAGAAUAGAGGUUAAUUAUUUGUAUUUCCUGAGGGCAAAACUCUGUGUAUACACAAGUGCUUGAUUGUAAGCCUUCCUUUUUGUCCACUCCUUUGUUGUAGCAGUUCUCCAAUGCCUGGAAUUAGAUGGAGCUCAGGCACACACUUGUCCUCUGUCAUCCGACAGCAUGGUGCGUGAGGGGCCUCUGCAGCUCCCGCAGUUCCUGGCUUAGUGCAGCAGGUAAGAAAGAGCAAGCGCUGUGGAGUCAGACAGCCUUGGUCUUGAAUCUUGAAUAGCUGUGUAACUCUGAACAAAUUACUUAAUCUUGCUGAGACUCAAUUUCCCCAUGCAAAAAAUAAGGAUAAUGAUACAUACCUUUUAGGUAGGGUCGAGGAUUAAAUUAGAUGGUGCAUGAAGUUGUUAGCAAAUGGGAGCUGUGGCUAAAUCACAGAGACACAGGCAUUAGGUGUACAAGAAAUGUGGAACCAAAUGGAGUUGUUGAGAAGCAAAAUCCAUUCUCCCUAAUUUAUGAAUUCUUCUGUGCAUCACCAGGUCCCCAUUCUAAGAUAUUCAGUCAUUUGUUAUUUAUGAUCCAAACAGUAUUAAUCUCACACUAUCUACCAGGGACUGGAAGAGAAGCUAGGGACCCUGAGACAUGUUGGGCAUGGUCCUUGCCCUUGGAAUGCUUGGAAUCUAGGAGAGGGCAAGCAGGCAAACCAGUAAGUGCUAUAGCGUGAUAGUGCUGUGCUGGAAGGGUUAGAGAAUCCAGUGAGCGCCUAAAGAAAGGAGUAGUCAGCUCUGCCGGGGAGAUGGGGAUGUGAAGACAGCGAAGUCAGAAAAGGCUUCAAAGAAUUGACCUUGAAUCGGACCUUGACAAAUAAGUCAGUAUUUUUCAGGCAGACCAUCCUCAGCAAAAGCAGCAGUGUGAGCCAAGGCAACAAGGAGACGUGCGUCAGGCUGGUUUGGGGGGGAAAUGGCAAGUAAUUUCCCCCUGCUGAGGGUCCACGAGGAGCAGAGAGCAGGGCGAGAGUUGCAGUUGGAAAUGGAGCAGAGGCCAGCUGGGGAACUUGGUUCCCAUCCUAUAAACAGAAAGGAACUCACUCAACAAACGCCAUUCAAGCCCCAAAGAGAUGGGGAGAGACACCCAGAGAAGGGACUGUGACACGAGAGCAACCAGGUUUCCCAGGAUUCAAAGACAAUGGAGCAGUUGUGUUCACCUACCUGGGCUGUAGCGCCCUUGUCUUGUGCAUCCCCUCCAAUCCCCAGCAGCAUCCCAUGUUGUGGUCCACUCCCUCCCUCAGCAAGCAUCGCCCACCUGGUGUUUCUGUUUCCUCAAGAAUCAGUUGUCUGCUAGAUGAUGGUUGAUUAUCUAACUAAUAAAUCCCCGUGAUCCCGUCAGUACAUGUCAGUUUGUUAUUUAUUCCACGCUGUAGAUUUCCAUUUAAAUGGGGACUUUGUGAGCAAUGUUUUAAACCAAAUGGAUCAAAACCCUAGUGAUAGCGUUGCAAGCACCCUGGCAACUCCAUGAAGGGGCAAUUUUUGCACAAGAAACUGGUGUCUUAUCACUAGUUCUGGGCUGUGAAAGCAACUGCUUUCUUGAUGUUUGUUGCCAACAAAAAGGUUUUCAGAAAAAAAAUGAUUGGCCCAUACAAAGGCUGAGAAAACAUACGGUGAUACUUAUAAGCACAAUUAUGGAAGCUUUGACUCUCUCUCUGUGACUGGCAUGCGGUGGCUGCUUAAUGCAUGAUGAAAGGGAAGAAGGGAGAUAGGAAGGAACGGAAGAAGAGAGGGGACGCGCUCGAAUCCAUAAUCUCUUUUUACAUAGCUUGUGGAAUGGAACUUGGUGGCUAAAAAUAGAUAUUUUUCUACUCCUAAGGGGGCGAGACAGG